rnacentral:rRNA from 1 species
GAUGAACGCUGGCGGCGUGCUUAACACAUGCAAGUCGUGCGAAGCGCUUUUGCGGAUUUCUUCGGAUUGAAGCAACUGUGACUGAGCGGCGACGGGUGAGGUAACGCGUGGGUAACCUGCCUCAUACAGGGGGAUAACAGUUGGAAACGGCUGCUAAUACCGCAUAAGCGCACAGUACCGCAUGGUACCGUGUGAAAAACUCCGGUGGUAUGAGAUGGACCCGCGUCUGAUUAGGUAGUUGGUGGGGUAACGGCCUACCAAGCCGACGAUCAGUAGCCGACCUGAGAGGGUGACCGGCCACAUUGGGACUGAGACACGGCCCAA